AAAAAAGCUGCCUCACCUAUAACAAUCCUUUUCUUCUGCUAAUAACUCGCGCCCCCACCCUCCUUCUAGAAAAACCUUCUACUUUGUACAACUCCUUCAAGUGCCUCUCUACUUGCUAGUUGGGGUAGUGCCAGAUUCAGGAAUCGUUUAAUAAAGCCAACUUAUCUUCCAAUUUACUUGGGUGAAUUUUGUUAUUUAACAGGUAUAAACUGACAAAUAAAACUGUAAGAUACUUGAAGUAUACAAUAUGAUGACUUAAUUUACAUAUAUACACAUAUACCAGUAAGUUAAUGUGAUCCACCACACCACAUAUUACACUUUGUUGGGCAGGAGGCAAGAGGAAUGGAAACAUUUAAGUUCUCCUCUCUUAGCAAAUUUCAAUUAUGCAAUACGGUGUUAUCAACUAUAGUCAUCAAGUUAUACUUUCGAUCUUCAAACCUUAAUUACCUUUUAUAAUGGAGAGUUUGUACUCUUUUACCAACAUCUCCCUAUUUUUCCCACUCCCUAAAUAUGGUGCUGUUUUUAAAGACUCAACUGAAAUGAUCUCUAGUGAACAGAAGUAAAAAAUCAAGGGCUUCCAGUAUUCACUUGUGAGAUACAGAUCUCCCCUGUUCAGGGACACAGUAUUAAUAUAAUGGACAAAAAGCCUAAGAAUUCAUGAAAAAGAAAAUAAGGUAUCAAAUCUUAACACAACAGCUCUUUCCUCUUCAAAAGUUUGAUUUCUCUAACCUUCUAAUAACAUGUUUCUCUUUCUCUUUAUUGUUCCUGUUUUGGAAUGUGGGCAAAGAAACCAAAUGCACUUAUUUCCACUGAAGUAUGAUUUUUCAGAACUACCAAAAGAGAUCUUUUUGUUUUUCAGCUUAAAAGGUUUUAUUAUUAUGUACAAAAAGAUUUUUUCUGAUUAGUGUAUUUAGAUGCAAGAUACGAGUCUACAUAUUUCUUGGUUCUGUUUGGUUUUGAAUGGGGCAUACACUGCAAUCACAGCACUAGAAGAUUCAACUUAUUAUCAGACUUCUCACCUAACUCAGCCUGAACCCAACACCCUGGGAUAUCAUUUUUCUCAUGGCACCUGGUGACCACUGAAUAAACACUAUUAUACACAAAGGAAUUCUAUGCCACACCAUCUUUUGCAUUACGUUCAGCCUAUUUCCUAAGUGACAGUGACAGGACCCACAUGGAAUGAUCUAAGUUGAACAAAAAAGUCUAUUACAUAUUCCAUGACAGCUAGAAAAAAAUCACUUAACCUCUUCAAUGGUAAAACUCACUCUGCCUUCCUAACAGGGUUAAUUGCAUCAAAUAAAAAUAAAAAGUGUUCCUAUAUAGUAUUUUUUUAAAAAGUGUGUGCAUAUAUGGUUGGUCAAUAGUAAUGAAAUCACAAAAGUUAAUUACAUCUUCAGUAUAUGGUAUUCAUUCAAGCAAAAGUAAAAUUGAGUCCUUACAGACAAAGAGCUCUCUGGUGAAACAACUCAAUACUCAAGUAUUGGUAAUGUUCACCUUCUCCCUUUUCAUACUUGUUUCUCUCAGACCUCUAGGAUAAUGGGAUAAACAAGAGAGAUUCAAAAAACAUUUUUAAUCCCAAGAAAUAUAUUUAUAGAUGUAUAAUGAUCAAAAGCAUACCAACAUCCUAUGUUUGAAAACAAAAAUCAUUCAAAUUGAGUAAUUACAUAAAAAUAUGAUAUUAUAUGAACCGAUCUUGACAGAACCAAAACCAGGGAGAAAAUAAGCAAUCAUCUAGGUCAGAGGCUCACGUUCUUCACCACUGAAGACUGUAUCUGCUACAAAGUGAUUGUCUUGGUCAAGAAAACAAAGUCCAAGAAAAUAACUGGCAAAUUACUUUGAACAGAAUAUAUAAAUUAUUUUCUUUUAGAAACUCAUCUUGGAUGAGUAGCUGGAUUCCCUCCUCCUAACAUAUACAAAGUCGUUAAAGUCAUAAUUUGCUAUAAUUUUUAAGCAUCCAAUUUCAUAAGUGAAGAAAGAAGAUACCUUUUUUUUUUCUCUUUACAAAAUUCAAAGAAAACAAGCUUGCAUUACAGUUUUAAGGAUCUUGGUGCAGCAGAUUCCACAACUCAUAAAUUAUAAUGUGUUUCUUUGCAGCACCCUCUCUACAUGUAGCUGACUUAAAAACGCAGUAAAGAGAAAGCAACAGUACCACUAGCUUUUGGUAGAAUGAGUGCUAUGCUACAGAUCUCUGCCUGCUUUUCAAACCAGUAAUCCAUCAAGGUCCAGGACAAAACAGUAACUGGUUCUGCUCAACUCAUCACUGAGCAAAUAUGUUAAUGUACGUCUCACUGGGUGUGGGUGCCAUUAUUGCACAGCCCGAAUAUUACAUGCAGUUUGUGUUUUGCCUUGUUCAAAAUGCAGACUGCCUCUGUUAGGAAGAGGCCAAAAAUACUAUCCCCUGCAAGCUGCUCAACUACAGAGUCCAAGAAAGCCUGCACCCUUCCUGAAUGACGGUUGACCUGCUGAAAGCUGUACUUCCGAGAAUACAAUAAUACCUGAACCCAAAAGAAGUUCAUCUAAAAGCACUUGAAUUAUUUAGGUUGUUCACCUACAGUGAAUUAUCAAAAUCUGUAAAUAAAAUAAUACUAGCACAUCUAAGGAAGGAUCUCUGUGGUAAAAGAAAGUGAAUAGACUUAGAAGUGUUACCCCAAAACAGUGUACUCAGAAAGCUCAACGGAAAGACCUACCAUUCUUUUUUUAAAAAUAUUUAGUUAUUCAUGACACACACACGCAGAGAGAGAGAGAGAGGCAGAGACACAGGCAGAGGGAGAACCAGGCUCUUGUGAGGAGCCCAAUGUGGGACUCGAUCCCAGGACCCCAAGAUCAUGACCUACGCUGAAGGCAGAUGUUCAAUCCGAGCCACCCAAGUGCCCCAAGACCUACCAUUCUUGUAAAGUGCCCAACUCAUAUGAAAGCUCUAAAUAAAUGUUUAUUGAAGCUAAUUAAAAUCAAUAAACUUCUCUAAGGCUUAAGUCACUUAAAAUAAGUCAAAGAUUAUAAAUCAUCACUAUAAUGAAGCCCUUCUUUCAAUUAGGAUUCUUCUAUGGUGGAUGAGUUGGUGCUUCUGAUAAAUACAGUGUGUUAUGGCCAUGCUGGAGGUUGCCCUGGCAGUGCCCAAGCUUUGGGGGUUUCUUUAUGGAGGUGCCACCAUGGCCCUGAGCUCAAGACUGAACUCUGCUCUUUCCUUCAUGGGGAGAAAUGAGUAGAUCCCUUUCUCCUGAGAGAGCUCUUUUGAGAAUCUUUAUUUUGUUGCUGCUUUCUUUUUCAUGUGUCAUAUAUGCCCACCUCAUUCCCUAAGAGAACUUGCAGCAUUUUAACAACCGAUCAUGAAAAAGACUAAAUCUGUUCUAAAAUGCUCCAAGAUAGAGAAUUUUUUGUAAUAUUAAAAUAUAUAAAACAGCUAAGUUAAAAACUAAAAUGGAUCAGAAACCACUUAGGAAGUAAUGAAGUCAAAAGAAGUAUGUGAAUCCAUAUGGAAAGACAACUCCACUGGUAAUAAACACUCAGAGGAGUUUUUUUGCACAAUAUUUCCUGGGUUAAGAAGUAGAAUACAUAAUGCCCUUCAGUUCAUUCAUUAAUUCAACUGUUUCAUUCAUUCAACUGUUUAUUGAAAGCACUUGCUAUGUGCACUGCACUGUUGACUAAGAAACAUUCUUCACAUAGCUGCUGCUUAACCUGACCUCUGAUCAAACUCCAGAACGUGACUUUAGUUGUACUCAACAAGUCAGAUUCAAAGAAGAGAAGCUUUAAAAAAUUAUUCAACAAAUACAUUCUACCAGAAACCUAAGGUUUUAGGUAAGAUGUGUUGUAUUUUGGUGAUAGGAUUUGUCCCCAGCAACAGAGUUCAGAGACUAUUCAGCUCUUAUGAAGUAGUAGGUCCCUUGAACUGGAAUCUUUCUCCAAACACUGUUUCAAACCUGCUUCAGCAGGAGGCCGUCCAUGCAAGCCUGGGCUCUCUGCUGAGUGCUGCAGGAUGUGGGAGUAUACAUUUUUUUAAUUGAUGCCAGACAAGCAGAGUAGACAUUCUAUUUUGACACUUAGGAAGACAACUUUCAUCCCUGUUUCAAUGGAAACAAUCCCACUUCAGUAAAUAGGCAGGUACAGGGGUGUCUCUGAAAAGGACCAAUAUUUUUCUUAAAAAAUGAAGAUAUUUUCAGCUGCUCAAAUGAUUCUUACCGAGUACAUGAUACAGAUGCCUUUUUCCAGAAAACAAUUCUUAAGGAUGCCAUUUGCUAAUCAUAUUCUGUAUCGAUAGGCUCUUUAAGAUAACAAAUGUAAAGCAGCACUGCAUCUUGAUACCCCCCACCAGCAUGAGUUAGAGGCAAGAGGGGUCUCAGGUCUGCUCACUGGUUUUAUGCAACGGCAUGGAACUCUCAAAUAGAGUUGUGUGUCUUCUCAUCAAGAUGUGUAAGAAUGCCUGGCACUCUGUACAGGAUGACAACAACAACACAUACCCCAUACAAAAAUAAAGUCAUCCCUCCUCGCCCCCCACAAAAGACUCAUGCCUAAGACACAUUGAAACACUGAGCCCUCGCUUUAGCUUUUUCCCCCAGAGCAAAACUUGGACAACUGGACGUGACACUGAUUUUGACGAAUGCCCAUCACAUUCCAACAAUGGCUGGCCAUGUGAAAUCACUCCGGGCUAACCAAGAGUGUACAAGUAUGUGCUCCCCACCCUCCUUCCCUAGCUCCUCAGCACCACCUGCCUUCCUCAUCCAGAAAGCGUUACUGCCCACCUUCUCAGGGAGGGGAAGCCAGAGCCCAGUCACAGUUUGUGUUAGAAGAUGGAUGUGAGAAGCUGCACUUCUUUGCCCAUCCCCGGAAUAGACGUGGUUCAAGCGUGGCAUCUGGCAAAUCUAAUCAUGUGAAGCAAAUCUACAGAAGUGCUCCAAACAGGAUGCCGGAGAGCAUAUUGCCCUCAGAGCCUGUUACGAUAAAUGGAGAGAGGUGUACACGCAGGCAAAGAUACCAAUUACCCAAGCUGGCAUGUGCCCAGCUCAGAACAACUAACACACCCUAAAUGUGUAAAUAAUC
rnacentral:lncRNA from 1 species